AAGUAAAGUAAGUAAGAGCUUACGGUGGAUACCUUGGCAUUUAGAAGCGAUGAAGGGCGUGACUACCAACGAAAUGCUCCGGGGAGCUGGAAGUAAGCUUAAAUCCGGAGGUUCCCGAAUGAGGAAACUCUAUUAUACUACCUACUGAAUUCAUAAGUAGGCAAGAGCAAACCUGGCGAACUGAAACAUCUUAGUAGCCAGAGGAAAAGAAAGCAAAAGCGAUUCUCUUAGUAGCGGCGAGCGAAAUGGGAACAGCCUAAACCACUUUAAUAAGUUUUAGUGGGGUUGUGGGACAGAUGUACAAGUAAACAAAAAGCUAGGUGAAACAAAUGAAAUUUUGUAUCAAAGAAGGUGAUAAUCCUGUAACCGAAAGUAGAUUGUAGCUUAUCUGUAUCCCGAGUAGCAUGGAACACGUGAAAUUCCGUGUGAAUCUGCGAGGACCACCUCGUAAGGCUAAAUAUUCCUAAAUGACCGAUAGUGAACAGUACCGUGAGGGAAAGGUGAAAAGAACCCCGGAAGGGGAGUGAAAUAGAACAUGAAACCGUAAGCUUACAAGCAGUAGAAGGACGACUAAUCGUUUGACUUCGUGCAUGUUGAAGAAUGAGCCGGCGACUUAUAGGCAGUGGCAGGUUAAGAUAGAGAAUAUUAAAGCCAUAGUGAAAGCGAGCCUUAAUAGGGCGUAAGUCACUGUUUAUAGACCCGAACCCGGAUGAUCUAGCCAUGGCCAGGGUGAAGCUUAGGUAACACUAAGUGGAGGUCCGAACCGACUGAUGUUGAAAAAUCAGCGGACGAGCUGUGGCUAGGGGUGAAAUGCCAAUCGAAUCCGGAGCUAGCUGGUUCUCCCCGAAAUGCGUUUUGGCGCAGCGGUUGGUGCUUAAGCUUAGGGGUAAAGCACUGUUUCGGUGCGGGCUGUGAGAACGGUACCAAAUCGAGGCAAACUCUGAAUACUAAGUGUGUAGCCAACCAGUGAGACAGUGGGGGAUAAGCUUCAUUGUCAAAAGGGAAACAGCCCAGACCACCAGCUAAGGCCCCUAAAUAAUUGCUAAGUGAUAAAGGAAGUGGAAAUGUUUAGACAACCAGGAGGUUUGCUUAGAAGCAGCAAUCCUUUAAAGAGUGCGUAAUAGCUCACUGGUCUAAUGAUUCUGCGCCGAAAAUGAACGGGGCUAAGCAAUUUGCCGAAGCUGUGGGAUGUUAUUACAUCGGUAGGGGAGCGUUCUGUUAUAGAUUGAAGCACUAGCGUAAGCGGGUGUGGACUAAGCAGAAGUGAGAAUGUCGGCUUGAGUAGCGAAAACAUUGGUGAGAAUCCAAUGCCCCGAAAACCUAAGGGUUCCUUUGCAAGGUUCGUCCACGAAGGGUGAGUCAGGUCCUAAGGCGAGGCUGAAAAGCGUAGUCGAUGGGUAACAGGUUAAUAUUCCUGUACUAUUUUUUAUUGGUAACGAGGGACGGAGAAGGCUAAAUCAGCCGGAUGUUGGUUACUGGUUUAAAUUUUUGAAGGUGAUGAAAGAUGGCGAAAACAUCUUGAGCUAAAAAAUGAAUACAAGCCACUAAGGUGGUAAAGUGAUUGAUGUCAUACUUCCUAGAAAAGCUCGAAAUAUCUUAAAUAAAAAAUACCUGUACCCUAAACUGACACAAGUAGGUAAGUAGAGUAUACUAAGGGGCGCGAGAUAACUCUCUCUAAGGAACUCGGCAAAAUAGCCCCGUAACUUCGGAAGAAGGGGUGCCCUUGUAGGGCUGCAAUAAAUAGACCCAAGCGACUGUUUAUCAAAAACACAGGUCUCCGCUAAGUCGCAAGACAAUGUAUGGGGGCUGACGCCUGCCCAGUGCCGGAAGGUUAAGGAAGCUGGUUAGUCAUUGGCAAAGCUAGUAACUGAAGCCCCGGUGAACGGCGGCCGUAACUAUAACGGUCCUAAGGUAGCGAAAUUCCUUGUCGGGUAAGUUCCGACCCGCACGAAAGGCGUAACGAUUUGGGUACUGUCUCAGAGAGAGACUCGGCGAAAUAGAAUUGUCUGUGAAGAUGCGGACUACCUGCACCUGGACAGAAAGACCCUAUGAAGCUUUACUGUAGCUUGGGAUUGACUUUGGGUUUAUUUUGCGCAGUAUAUGUGGGAGGCUAAGAAAGUAUAUUUUUGGAUAUACUCGAGCCAUCAAUGAGAUACCACUCUAAGUAAACUAAAAUUCUAACUUUGAUAGUCGUUAACCGGCCAAAGAACAUUUCCAGGUGGGCAGUUUGACUGGGGCGGUCGCCUCCUAAAAAGUAACGGAGGCGUGCAAAGGUUUCCUCAGACUGGUCGGAAAUCAGUCUUCGAGUAUAAAGGCAUAAGGAAGCUUGACUGCAAGACCUACAAGUCGAGCAGAGACGAAAGUCGGCCUUAGUGAUCCGACAGUACUGAGUGGAAAGACUGUCGCUCAACGGAUAAAAGUUACUCUAGGGAUAACAGGCUGAUCUCCCCCAAGAGUUCACAUCGACGGGGAGGUUUGGCACCUCGAUGUCGGCUCAUCGCAUCCUGGGGCGGUAGUACGUCCCAAGGGUUGGGCUGUUCGCCCAUGAAAGCGGUACGCGAGCUGGGUUCAGAACGUCGUGAGACAGUUCGGUCCAUAUCCGGUGCAGGCGUUAGAGUAUUGAGAGGAGCUCUCCUUAGUACGAGAGGACCGGGAGAGACACACCUCUGGUGUACCAGUUAUUGUGCCAACAGUAAACGCUGGGUAGCUAAGUGUGGAUGUGAUAACUGCUGAAAGCAUCUAAGUAGGAAGCCAACCUCAAGAUGAGUACUCUCACCGUCUAACGGAUAAGAUCACGGUAAGAUUAACCGUUUGAUAGGCAUCAAGUGUAAGUGUAGUAAUGCAUGUAGCUGAGAUGUACUAAUAGAUCGAAGACUUUACUUAAAAU
rnacentral:rRNA from 1 species